rnacentral:rRNA from 1 species
CCAGCAGCCGCGGUAAUUCCAGCUCCAAUAGCGUAUAUUUAAGUUGUUGCAGUUAAAAAGCUCGUAGUUGGAUUUCGGAUGGGAUUUGCCGGUCCGUCUUUGAGAUGUGUACUGGUAAGUCCUAUCUUGUUGUCGGGGACUAGCUCCUGGGCUUCACUGUCCGGGACUAGGAGCCGACGAAGUUACUUUGAGUAAAUUAGAGUGUUCAAAGCAAGCCUACGCUCUGAAUAUAUUAGCAUGGAAUAACACGAUAGGACUCUGGCUUAUCUUGUUGGUCUGUGAGACCAGAGUAAUGAUUAAGAGGGACAGUCGGGGACAUUCGUAUUUCAUUGUCAGAGGUGAAAUUCUUGGAUUUAUGAAAGACGAACUUCUGCGAAAGCAUUUGUCAAGGAUGUUUUCAUUAAUCAAGAACGAAAGU